UACGUAGGGGGCAAGCGUUGUCUGGAAUCAUUGGGCGUAAAGAGCGUGUAGGCGGCCCGGUAAGUCCGCUGUGAAAGUCCAGGGCUCAACCCUGGGGUGCCGGUGGAUACUGUCGGGCUCGAGUCCGGAAGAGGAGUGUGGAAUUCCUGGUGUAGCGGUGAAAUGCGCAGAUAUCAGGAGGAACACCAAUGGCGAAGGCAGCACUCUGGGACGUGACUGACGCUGAGACGCGAAAGCGUGGGGAGCAAACAGG
rnacentral:rRNA from 1 species